AACGCUAGCUACAGGCUUAACACAUGCAAGUCGAGGGGCAGCAUGGUCUUAGCUUGCUAAGGCCGAUGGCGACCGGCGCACGGGUGAGUAACGCGUAUCCAACCUGCCUUACACUCUUGGACAGCCUUCUGAAAGGGAGAUUAAUACAAGAUGUUAUCAUGAGUAAGCAUUUUCGCAUGAUUAAAGGUUUACCGGUGUAAGAUGGGGAUGCGUUCCAUUAGAUAGUAGGCGGGGUAACGGCCCACCUAGUCUUCGAUGGAUAGGGGUUCUGAGAGGAAGGUCCCCCACAUUGGAACUGAGAUACGGUCCAAACUCCUACGGGAGGCAGCAGUGAGGAAUAUUGGUCAAUGGACGAGAGUCUGAACCAGCCAAGUAGCGUGAAGGAUGAAGGUUCUAUGGAUUGUAAACUUCUUUUAUACGGGAAUAAACGGAUCCACGUGUGGAUUUUUGCAUGUACCGUAUGAAUAAGGAUCGGCUAACUCCGUGCCAGCAGCCGCGGUAAUACGGAGGAUCCGAGCGUUAUCCGGAUUUAUUGGGUUUAAAGGGAGCGUAGAUGGGUUGUUAAGUCAGUUGUGAAAGUUUGCGGCUCAACCGUAAAAUUGCAAUUGAUACUGGCAGUCUUGAGUACAGUUGAGGUAGGCGGAAUUCGUGGUGUAGCGGUGAAAUGCUUAGAUAUCACGAAGAACUCCGAUUGCGAAGGCAGCUUACUAACCUGUAACUGACAUUGAUGCUCGAAAGUGUGGGUAUCAAACAGGAUUAGAUACCCUGGUAGUCCACACGGUAAACGAUGAAUACUCGCUGUAGGCGAUAUACAGUCUGCGGCCAAGCGAAAGCAUUAAGUAUUCCACCUGGGGAGUACGCCGGCAACGGUGAAACUCAAAGGAAUUGACGGGGGCCCGCACAAGCGGAGGAACAUGUGGUUUAAUUCGAUGAUACGCGAGGAACCUUACCCGGGCUUAAAUUGCAACCGAAUAUGGCGGAAACGCUAUAGCUAGCAAUAGCGGUUGUGAAGGUGCUGCAUGGUUGUCGUCAGCUCGUGCCGUGAGGUGUCGGCUUAAGUGCCAUAACGAGCGCAACCCUUGCCGAUAGUUACUAACAGGUCAUGCUGAGGACUCUGUCGGGACUGCCAUCGUAAGAUGUGAGGAAGGUGGGGAUGACGUCAAAUCAGCACGGCCCUUACGUCCGGGGCUACACACGUGUUACAAUGGGGGGUACAGAGGGCUGCUACCACGCAAGUGGAUGCCAAUCCCAAAAACCUCUCUCAGUUCGGAUUGAAGUCUGCAACCCGACUUCAUGAAGCUGGAUUCGCUAGUAAUCGCGCAUCAGCCACGGCGCGGUGAAUACGUUCCCGGGCCUUGUACACACCGCCCGUCAAGCCAUGGGAGCCGGGGGUACCUGAAGUGCGUAACCGCAAGGAGCGCCCUAGGGUAAAACUGGUGACUGGGGCU
rnacentral:rRNA from 1 species